rnacentral:rRNA from 1 species
UACGUAGGGAGCAAGCGUUGUCCGGAAUCAUUGGGCGUAAAGCGCGCGUAGGUGGCCUCAUAAGUCCGCUGUGAAAGUCAAAGGCUCAACCUUUGAAAGCCGGUGGAUACUGUGAGGCUAGAGUACGGAAGAGGCGAGUGGAAUUCCUGGUGUAGCGGUGAAAUGCGCAGAUAUCGGGAGGAACACCAAUGGCGAAGGCAGCUCGCUGGGACGUUACUGACGCUGAGACGCGAAAGCGUGGGGAGCAAACAGG